rnacentral:rRNA from 1 species
GAUGAACGCUGGCGGCGUGCCUAAUACAUGCAAGUCGAGCGAAUGGAUUAAGAGCUUGCUCUUAUGAAGUUAGCGGCGGACGGGUGAGUAACACGUGGGUAACCUGCCCAUAAGACUGGGAUAACUCCGGGAAACCGGGGCUAAUACCGGAUAACAUUUUGAACCGCAUGGUUCGAAAUUGAAAGGCGGCUUCGGCUGUCACUUAUGGAUGGACCCGCGUCGCAUUAGCUAGUUGGUGAGGUAACGGCUCACCAAGGCAACGAUGCGUAGCCGACCUGAGAGGGGGAUCGGCCAGACUGGGACUGAGACACGGCCCAGACUCCUACGGGAGGAAGCAGUAGGGAAGCUUCCGCAAUGGACGAAAGUCUGACGGGGCAAAGCCGCGUGAGUGAUGAAGGCCUUCGGGUCGUAGAACUCUGUUGUUAGGGAAGAACAAGUGCUAGCUGAAUAAGCUGGCACCUUGACGGUACCUAACCAGAAAGCCACGGCUAACUACGUGCCAGCCGCCGCGGUAA